AACUCAGUGUCUGUCAUGCUGGCAUGAGUUAUACAAAUAUACCAAUUCACACAUCGCAAUCCACCAUUUAGUGUGGUAAAGCUUUGUGGACCAGCUUUAGUUAGGAUGGCAUCAUCUUAUCUAACUACUCUUUUUCAUCUUAUCUUUUCAUCAGAUCAUGUCUAAUAAUAAGUACAAGAUGUCUAAUGAUUGGCUUAAUGACUUAAUGGUUGUGUAUAUUGAGAGGGAGAUAUUUAAAGGAAUUGAUAUUGAAUCUAUCAAAAAGUCAUUUCAAAAGAAGAAAGAUAGGAAUAUGAAAUUGCCAAAGUAUCCUAGACGCAACUAAUAAAUUUAUCGCUUAUUUUGGUCCAAUUGUUGAUUUGAUGAGUACUCUACAUAUUUUUCUUUAUUUAAGGUACUUCUGAACGAUGUUCUUGUUAUGAACUUUUAUUUCCGUAUAAUAUAUGACUAUAGUCUAUAAAUA